GACGAACGCUGGCGGCGUGCUUAACACAUGCAAGUCGAACGGAAAGGCCCUGCUUUUGUGGGGUGCUCGAUUGGCGAACGGGUGAGUAACACGUGAGUAACCUGCCCUUGACUUUGGGAUAACUUCAGGAAACUGCGGCUAAUACCGGAUAGGAUCUCCUGCUCCACGGUGGGGGUUGGAAAGUUUCGGCGGUUCGGGAUGGACUCGCGGCUUAUCCGCUUGUUGGUGGGGUAGUGGCUUUCCAAGGCUUUGACGGGUAGCCGGCCUGAGAGGGUGACCGGCCACAUUGGGACUGAGAUACGGCCCAGACUCCUACGGGAGGCAGCAGUGGGGAAUAUUGCACAAUGGGCGGAAGCCUGAGGCAGCAACGCCGCGUGCGGGAUGACGGCCUUCGGGUUGUAAACCGCUUUCGCCUGUGACGAAGCGUGAGUGACGGUAAUGGGUAAAGAAGCACCGGCUAACUACGUG
rnacentral:rRNA from 1 species